GUAGACCCAGAGAGGCUCAGCUGCGCUUGCCUGGCUGGGAGAACUGGGUGUGGGGAACAUGGCUGGGCCCCGGAGGCUCCUGCUUCUGCCCCUCCUUCUGGCGCUGGCUUGCGGCCUGCCUGGGGCCCUGGCUGCCCAAGAGGUGCAGCAGUCUCCCCACUGCACGACUGUCCCUGUGGGAGGCUCCGUCAACAUCACCUGCUCCACCAGCGGGGGCCUGCGUGGGAUCUACCUGAGGCAGCUCAGGCCACAGCCCCAAGACAUCAUUUACUACGAGGACGGGGUGGUGCCCACUACGGACAGACGGUUCCGGGGCCGCAUCGACUUCUCGGGAUCCCAGGACAACCUGACUAUCACCAUGCACCGCCUGCAGCCGUCGGACACUGGCACCUACACCUGCCAGGCCAUCACGGAGGUCAAUGUCUACGGCUCCGGCACCCUGGUCCUGGUGACAGGUAGGGAAUGCGCCCAUCCCAGACCCCCCUCCUGACCCCAGCUGCUGGCCAGGCUCUGCUCCCCCGGCCCUUGUCGUGGGACCCUCCCUCCUACACAUGCCUGAACUGUUCCAGCUCCCAGCCCACCGCCCCCAGCAGCCUCCUAGAUAGCUGCCCCUCCUCUCCUCCACAGCCUUUCCCUGCCCUGAACCCCAAACCCCGGGGGCUCUAACAGGUUCUCCACCAGGAGAAUCCCUUCCUUCUUUCUUCCUUCACAGAGGAACAGUCUCAAGGAUUGCACAGAUGCUCAGAUGCCCCGCUGAGGGCCUCUGCCCUCCCUGCCCGGCCGACAGCCUCUGCCCUCCCUGCCCGGCCGACAGCCUCUGCCCUCCCUGCCCUGCCGACAGCCUCUGCCCUCCCUGCGGCCCUGGCAGUGAUCUGCUUCCUCCUCGGGCUGGGCCUGGGGGUGGCAUGUGUGCUGGCGAGGACACAGGUCAGUGUGAGCCCCAGCUGCCACCUGCACCCCACAGAUUGUUCCCUCUCCUGAGAGCAGUGU
rnacentral:sRNA from 1 species